GUGGGGAAUAUUGGACAAUGGGCGAAAGCCUGAUCCAGCCAUGCCGCGUGUGUGAAGAAGGUCUUCGGAUUGUAAAGCACUUUAAGUUGGGAGGAAGGUCAGUAAGUUAAUACCUUGCUGUUUUGACGUUACCGACAGAAUAAGCACCGGCUAACUUCGUGCCAGCAGCCGCGGUAAUACGAAGGGUGCAAGCGUUAAUCGUAAUUACUGGGCGUAAAGCGCGCGUAGGUGGUUUUGUAAGUUGGAGGUGAAAUCCCCGGGCUCAACCUGGGAACUGCCUCCAAAACUGCAUGACUAGAGUACGGUAGAGGAUGGUGGAAUUUCCUGUGUAGCGGUGAAAUACGUACAUAUAGGACGCAACACCAGUGGCGAAGACGACUACCUGAACUGAUACUGACACUGAGGUGCGAAAGCGUGGGGAGCAAACAGGAUUAAAUACCCCUGUAGUCC
rnacentral:rRNA from 1 species